GCGGGUGAGAGGCAGGAGGCACUGUGACCACACAGCCCCUAGAUGUGUCCCAAUUCGGGUCGCCCUCCCCGUGUGCGGCUCUGGGGAAGCAAGGUUUCGAAACGGAGGACUCGGGGUGAGAGGCCACCACGCGCAGGCCCCACCUGCAUCCAGCCUGUGAUGUCCCCCAGGACCCUGUGCCAACCCAGCGUGUGGGGAGAAUGCAGGGCCCUGUGACUCUAUCCCCGUCUCUCCAGGGAGAGUGGAGGUGAUGUUCUAGAAGGGGGUCGACCCAGGAAAGCAUGCUUUCCCUCAGCCCUGGGCUCAGGGCGGCAUGAGGACAGGCUCAGGAUGGGCCCAAAUCUCCUCGUCCUGCCCGCCAGGAGCCCCGGAUCUGGUGGGUCUGUGGUGGUGUCUCCUCGGCACUUCAAUAUCCAGCGCCCUGAUCGCUGAUGAGGAAAUGCUACAAGUCAUGUACGCCGCAUUGACAUUCACCCCCAGGACUCUGGAGCAUGUGCAUUUGGAUGAGUUCACUAUUCUUGGCUUUGAGGUGCGGACAAGUCUUGCUGGCACUUGGCAGGUGCUCUGAGGGCUGUCUCACACCGUGCUCCACAAAUAAGGGCUGUCCCCAGGUUUGGACACAGGGAGGCAAGGGCAGCCAGCCACACUCACAGGUGAGAUCCCUGGUCCUUCCAACAACUGGAUCCCGAGUCACACUUCAGGGGUCCGAGUAAGUGUGCCAGAUCGCAAGGUGGAGAUAAGCACCCGUGCAAAAACCCAGCAGAGAGGACCCAGUGCAUAGAACCAAAAAAGAUGGUUGUCUGGAGUAGCAGAAGGGGUAGACGGUAUCCAGACGAGACAGGGGAAUGGGUCAGGCGGGGGCCAGGCCAUCAGCGCCAGAUGGAACCUUCAUCUUGCAGCGACCCGGCCGCUAACUUAUUUUUUCCAGCUUUCUCUCUUUCAGACAACCAUGAGCUCGCUGUCGGUGGCCAAUCCCGUGAGACAUCCAAAGUGCGCCUCUGAAAAUUCUGAUGACGAUGAAGGGAACAUGCAGGGUGGGGCCUUCCCAGGGCACAUCUGUUCCCCAUAUCUCUUAUGACAGCCCCCAUGGUAGGCCACCAACCGAGGACGUCAGCGGGGAGCCAAGUGGGAAACGUGGGAGACACGGGAGCUGGCGUUGGGCGACACUUCAGGGGUGAACCUGCAGGUGACUCUCCUCCAUCACACAGCUUCUGGGGGAAGCGACUUCAGUUAUGCAGAGGAAUAGUAUGGAGAGAUCCCAGGUACCCUUUAUCCAGAUUCUCCAAUGGUAAGAUCGCGCAAAACCACAGUAUUACAACCGGGAUACUAACACCGAAAGAGUCAAGAUCCAAACUUCUCUGUCACUGUGAGGCCCCCUCCUGCCCCCCUCCCAGCCACGGCCUCUCCCUCCCUGCACCUCCCUGCUCAGCCCCUCCAAGCCACCCAUCUGUUCUCCAUCUCUAUAAUGCCGUCAUUUCAGGGAUGGUAUAUACAUGGAAUCGUGUAAUAGGUACCCUUUUUGGAUGGGGCUUUUUUCCCACUCUGCGUACUUCUCUUGAGAUUCGUGCCAGGGGUUCUGUGCCUCCCUAGUGCGUUCCGUGUGACUGCUGAGGAACGUUCCGUGUGUGGAUGGGCCCCAGUUUGUUUAACUACUCACCCCUUAGGGACCCUUGGGCUGUUCCCCAGUUGGAGUCAUACAAAUAAAGCUGCCGUCAAUA